rnacentral:rRNA from 1 species
UGAUCAUGGCUCAGAUUGAACGCUGGCGGCAUGCUUUACACAUGCAAGUCGAACGGUAACGCGGGGGCAACCCUGGCGACGAGUGGCGAACGGGUGAGUAAUACAUCGGAACAUAUCCAGUAGCGGGGGAUAACCUAUCGAAAGAUGGACUAAUACCGCAUACGAUCUACGGAUGAAAGCAGGGGACCGCAAGGCCUUGCACUAUUGGAGUGGCCGAUGUCGGAUUAGCUAGUUGGUGAGGUAAAGGCUUACCAAGGCAACGAUCCGUAGCUGGUCUGAGAGGACGAUCAGCCACACUGGAACUGAGACACGGUCCAGACUCCUACGGGAGGCAGCAGUGGGGAAUUUUGGACAAUGGGCGCAAGCCUGAUCCAGCCAUGCCGCGUGAGUGAAGAAGGCCUUCGGGUUGUAAAGCUCUUUCGGUGAAGACGAAACGGUCAGUGUUAAUAACACUGACUAAUGACGGUACUCACAGAAGAAGCACCGGCUAACUACGUGCCAGCAGCCGCGGUAAUACGUAGGGUGCAGGCGUUAAUCGGAAUUACUGGGCGUAAAGCGUGCGCAGGCGGUUUGCUAAGACAGGUGUGAAAUCCCCGGGCUUAACCUGGGAAUUGCGCUUGUAACUGGCAAGCUAGAGUGUGGCAGAGGGGGGUAGAAUUCCACGUGUAGCAGUGAAAUGCGUAGAUAUGUGGAGGAAUACCGAUGGCGAAGGCAGCCCCCUGGGUUAACACUGACGCUCAUGCACGAAAGCGUGGGGAGCAAACAGAUUAGAUACCCUGGUAGUCCACGCCCUAAACUAUGUCAACUAGUUGUCGGGGAAGAAAUUCCUUGGUAACGAAGCUAACGCGUGAAGUUGACCGCCUGGGGAGUACGGCCGCAAGGUUAAAACUCAAACGAAUUG